ACUCCUACGGGAGGCAGCAGUGGGGAAUAUUGCACAAUGGGCGCAAGCCUGAUGCAGCGACGCCGCGUGAGGGAUGACGGCCUUCGGGUUGUAAACCUCUUUCGCCAGGGACGAAGCGCAAGUGACGGUACCUGGAGAAGAAGCACCGGCCAACUACGUGCCAGCAGCCGCGGUAAUACGUAGGGUGCGAGCGUUGUCCGGAAUUACUGGGCGUAAAGAGCUCGUAGGUGGUUUGUCGCGUUGUUCGUGAAAACUCACAGCUUAACUGUGGGCGUGCGGGCGAUACGGGCAGACUGGAGUACUGCAGGGGAGACUGGAAUUCCUGGUGUAGCGGUGGAAUGCGCAGAUAUCAGGAGGAACACCGGUGGCGAAGGCGGGUCUCUGGGCAGUAACUGACGCUGAGGAGCGAAAGCGUGGGGAGCGAACAGGAUUAGAUACCCUGGUAGUCCACGCCGUAAACGGUGGGUACUAGGUGUGGGUUUCCUUCCUUGGGAUCCGUGCCGUAGCUAACGCAUUAAGUACCCCGCCUGGGGAGUACGGCCGCAAGGCUAAAACUCAAAUGAAUUGACGG
rnacentral:rRNA from 1 species